UCGAUAUAAUGGAAGCGAAUGAAGUCGGCGUAUCUAACACGUAUUCAGUUGUUCGUUGUGUUCAAUCGCUGGGCGUUGGUCAUUCCGCAAGGUUGGCUCGUUCGGUGUUGUUGGGCGCAACGGCAAUGCACUUGCGUGUAGAGUGCGGUCGAUCGUACUGUGUUGUCGGUGGAAGCUGUCGGAGAGGACGUUCGAUUUCGGUCGUUCGAAACCUACGAUUUGUGGAGGCUGAUUAAUGCGGUGCGAUUCGAAAAACGGGCGUUGGUUGAUACGAGUUUUCUUCCGACGUUCGUACGGUUUAACGUUUAACGCAUGCGUUCGAUGUUCUGCUGUGCGGACGUUGGGGGUGAAUUAGCUACGCACGUUUCGGCCGUAUAGCCGGUCACUCAUUCGACCCGUCUUGAAACACGGACCAAGGAGUUUAUAGUACACGCGAGUCAUUGAGCUUUUACGAAACUCAAAGGCGUAAUGAAAGUGAAAUUGUUGAGCAAUUGGAACGUGAUCGUUGGAUGAGCAAUUGUCCGGCGAGCAGCGUUACCCCAUUCCUGGAACUUGUUCUGGUGUGGAGGUUGAGCGUGUGCAAUGAGACCCGAAAGAUGGUGAACUAUGCCUGAACAGGACGAAGCCAGAGGAAACUCUGGUGGAAGUCCGAAGCGGUUCUGACGUGCAAAUCGAUCGUCUGAUUUUGGUAUAGGGGCGAAAGACUAAUCGAACCAUCUAGUAGCU
rnacentral:rRNA from 1 species